rnacentral:misc_RNA from 1 species
GAUGAAGAACGUAGCGAAAUGCGAUAAGUAAUGUGAAUUGCAGAAUUCAGUGAAUCAUCGAAUCUUUGAACGCACAUUGCGCCCGCCAGUAUUCUGGCGGGCAUGCCUGUUCGAGCGUCAUUUCAACCAUCGAGCCCCCGGCUUGUGUUGGGGACCUGCGGCUGCCGCAGGCCCUGAAAACCAGUGGCGGGCUCGCUAGUCACUCCGAGCGUAGUAAUACAUCUCGCUCAGGGCGUGCUGCGGGUUCCGGCCGUUAAAAAGCCUUAUUUACCCAAGGUUGACCUCGGAUCAGGUAGGAAGACCCGUUGAACUUAAGCAUAUCAAUAAGCGGAGGA